ACUGGGAGUUGAGGACACUGCCCAGACUCCUAUCGGGUAGGCUGCAGUCGAGAAUCAUUCGCAAUGGGCGAAAGCCUGACGAWGCCGACGCCGUGUGAGUGAUGAAGGCCUUUCGGUUGUAAAGCUCUUCGCUUGGAACAAGAGAGUG
rnacentral:rRNA from 1 species